GAUUUAGUAGUCAAUAAUGACGUCAAAUUGCAAAUUUGAAAGAGGUGUAACCCUAAGUCU
rnacentral:tRNA from 1 species